rnacentral:rRNA from 1 species
ACGCUUGAAGUCAGUCGCGUCGGCCAAGACUCAGCCUUGCCUUGGCUUGGUGUACUUCUUGGCCGACGGGUCAGCAUCAAUUUCGCCCCUUGGAUAAUGGCUAGGGAAAUGUGACACCUUUCAGGUGUGUUAUAGUCUCUCGUCGCAUGCAAGGGUUGGGAUUGAGGAACUCAGCACGCGCCUUCGGGUGUCGGGGUUACGCCCACGAUACGUGCUUAGGAUGUUGGCGUAAUGGCUUUAAACGACCCGUCUUGAAACACGGACCAAGGAGUC